AGUGGCGCACGGGUGAGUAACGCGUGGGUAAUCUACCUUCGUCUGGGGGAUAACCUACCGAAAGGUGGGCUAAUACCGCAUGACGUGAUCGGGUUGCGACCUGAUCACCAAAGAUAGCCUCUCCCUGGAAGCUAUCGGGUGAAGAUGAGCCCGCGUUCCAUUAGCUAGUUGGUAGGGUAACGGCUUACCAAGGCGACGAUGGGUAGCUGGUCUGAGAGGAUGGCCAGCCACACUGGAACUGGAACACGGUCCAGACUCCUACGGGAGGCAGCAGUGAGGAAUCUUGCGCAAUGGGGGCAACCCUGACGCAGCAACGCCGCGUGAGUGAAGAAGGCCUUCGGGUCGUAAAGCUCUGUCAAGUGGGAAGAAUAGCCUUAGGGUUAAUAGCCUUAGGGUAUGACUGUACCACUGGAGGAAGCACCGGCUAACUCCGUGCCAGCAGCCGCGGUAAUACGGAGGGUGCAAGCGUUAUUCGGAAUUAUUGGGCGUAAAGGGCGUGUAGGCGGCCAGAUAAGUCAGAGGUGAAAGCCCGGGGCUCAACCCCGGAAGUGCCUUUGAUACUGUUUGGCUUGAGUGCGGGAGAGGAAAGCGGAAUUCCCAGUGUAGAGGUGAAAUUCGUAGAUAUUGGGAGGAACACCGGUGGCGAAGGCGGCUUUCUGGACCGACACUGACGCUGAGGCGCGAAAGCGUGGGGAGCAAA
rnacentral:rRNA from 1 species